GGAAACGGAAUUACUUCCUCCAGCCUGAAAUCUCGUCCUGGCCAGAAGUAUGGCUCCGCUGGCGUUGGCUCUCUCCAAAUUCACUUUACACUGAGUGUGCUCUUCGAUUAAAUGGAACAAGUCCAGGAAUAUCUGGUGUGUAAUGUUUACUGGAGCGAGAAAACAAUUCCAGUCAUAUGAUCAAGUUGGCCCAGGUUGGCAGCCCCAAUAGAUAAAAGCGCGCCAUGAAUCAGGAUGCUUGAAGGGAAAGGCCAGGCCAUUGUCAAUGGCUGCGAUUUUGAUAAAGGCCGUGUCCACCAUA